rnacentral:rRNA from 1 species
UACGUAGGUGGCAAGCGUUGUCCGGAUUUACUGGGCGUAAAGGGCGUGCAGGCGGUUUGUUAAGUGCAGGGUGAAAGCUCCCGGCUCAACUGGGAGAGGUCCUUGCAUACUGGCGAACUCGAGGGAGGCAGAGGAAAGUGGAAUUCCCGGUGUAGUGGUGAUAUGCGUAGAUAUCGGGGAGGAACACCUGUGGCGAAGGCGGCUUUCUGGGCCUUACCUGACGCUGAGACGCGAAAGCGUGGGGAGCGAACCGG